rnacentral:rRNA from 1 species
UCUUACUGGGGGAGGCAGCAGGGGGUAUUAUUCAAUGAAGGAAACUACCAUGAUCCANCAAUGCGGGAGGGAAGAAGAUGUUCUUCUGAUAAAAAUGCAUUUUUCAGGGGGAAGGAAAUGACGGUACCGAAAGAGGAAGCCCCGGCUAACUUCGUGCCAGCAGCCGCGGUAAUACGUAGGGGGCUAGCGUUGUCCGGAAUUACUGGGUGUAAAGGGCGCGUAGGCGGGUUGUCCAGUUGGAUGUGAAAUCCCUGGGCUUAACNNGGAGUUGCAUCAAAACUUGCGAUCUUGAGGGAGGUAGNGGCAGGUGGAAUUCCCGGUGUAGCGGUGAAAUUCGUAGAUAUUGGGAGGAACACCAGUGGCGAAGGCGGCCUCCUGGNUCAAACUGACGNUGAGGCACGAAAGCAGGGGGAGCAACCAGGAUUAAUACCCUNNGGUCCACGCUGUAAAGAAGAUGUGUUAGAUGGGGUGUAAUGACCCCAUCAGUGCCGCAGUUAACGCAAUAAGCACUCCGCCUG